AGGCUCGCAGGAUGAGCGGGUGGCGGUGGCUACUGCUGCAGCGGCGGCGCUGACAAGACACGCGCUCUAUGCCUUUCCGGCUGCUCGUCCCGCUUGGCCUCCUGUGUGCGCUGCUGCCCCUGCACCAUGGUGCACCCGGCCCCGAUGGCACCGCGCCCGACCCCGCCCACUACAGGGAGCGAGUCAAGGCCAUGUUCUACCACGCCUACGACAGCUACCUGGAGAAUGCCUUUCCCUACGACGAGCUGCGACCUCUCACCUGUGACGGGCACGACACCUGGGGCAGUUUUUCUCUGACUCUAAUUGAUGCUCUGGACACCUUGCUGAUUUUGGGGAAUGUCUCAGAAUUCCAAAGAGUGGUUGAAGUACUCCAGGACAACGUGGACUUUGAUAUUGACGUGAAUGCCUCUGUGUUUGAAACCAACAUCCGAGUGGUAGGAGGACUUCUCUCUGCUCACCUGCUAUCAAAGAAGGCUGGGGUGGACGUGGAGGCCGGGUGGCCUUGCUCGGGACCUCUCCUGAGGAUGGCUGAGGAGGCAGCCCGGAAACUCCUCCCAGCCUUUCAGACCCCCACUGGCAUGCCGUACGGAACGGUGAACCUGCUUCACGGCGUGAACCCGGGAGAGACUCCUGUCACCUGCACAGCAGGGAUUGGGACCUUCAUUGUGGAAUUUGCCACCCUGAGCAGCCUCACCGGUGACCCCGUGUUCGAAGACGUGGCCAGAGUCGCCCUGAUGCGCCUCUGGGAGAGCCGGUCAGAUAUUGGGCUGGUCGGCAACCACAUCGACGUGCUCACUGGCAAGUGGGUAGCCCAGGACGCGGGCAUCGGGGCUGGCGUGGACUCCUACUUUGAGUACCUGGUGAAAGGAGCCAUCCUGCUUCAGGAUAAGAAGCUCAUGGCCAUGUUCCUAGAAUAUAACAAAGCCAUUCGGAAUUACACCCGCUUCGAUGACUGGUACCUGUGGGUGCAGAUGUACAAGGGGACCGUGUCUAUGCCAGUCUUCCAGUCUCUGGAGGCCUACUGGCCUGGUCUUCAGAGCCUCAUUGGGGACAUUGACAAUGCCAUGAGGACCUUCCUUAACUACUACACCGUCUGGAAGCAGUUUGGGGGGCUCCCGGAAUUCUACAACAUCCCUCAGGGAUACACAGUGGAGAAGCGAGAGGGCUACCCCCUUCGGCCGGAACUCAUUGAGAGCGCCAUGUACCUCUACCGUGCCACGGGGGACCCCACCCUCUUAGAACUCGGAAGAGAUGCUGUGGAAUCCAUCGAAAAAAUCAGCAAGGUGGAGUGCGGAUUUGCCACAAUGCAGUCUACCUACAAAUUUGAAAGAAACCAUGAGAACUAAUGAUUGAACAAUACAUAAAAGACUCUGGACCCUGGAAGGCACAAACCAUGUUUAUCUUAUUCACAGAUGUAUCUCCAGUUCCUAGGACAGUGCCUGCAUAUGAGGAAAUGCAGAUGGCUAACAGACAUGAAAAGAUGCUCGAUGUCACUCAUCAUAAGGGAAAUGCAAAUCAAAACCACAAUGAGAUAUCACCUCACACCAAUCAGGAUGGCUAUCAUCAAAAACAGCCCAAAUAACAAAUGCUGGCAAGGAUGUAGAGAAAAGGAAACUCUCAUACGCUGUUGGUGGGAAUGGAAAUUGGCGUAGCCACUGUGGACAACAGUAUGGAGGUUUCUCAAAAAACUAAAAAAUGGAUCUACCACAUAUGACCCAGCGAUUCUAGUCCUAGGUAUGUAUUUUUUUUUAAAAAACCCACUAAUUCGAAAAGAUACAUGUACCACAAUGUUCAUAGCAGCAUUAUUUACAAUUGCCAAGGUAUGGAGGCAACCUAAGUGUCCAUCAACAGAUGAAUAAAGAAGAUAUGGUGUGUGUAUAUACAUAUAUGGAAUACUACUCAGCCAUAAAAAAGAAUGAAAUUUUGCGAUUUGCAGCAGCAUGGACGGACUUGGAGGGUAUUAUGCAAAGUGAAAUUAGACAGACAGAGAAAGACAAAUACUGUAUGAUAUCACUUAUAUGUAGUAUCUAAAAAAUACAACAAACUAGUGAAUAUAACAAAAAAAAAGAAGCAGUUUCACAGAUAUAGAGAACAAACUAGUGGUUACCAGUGAGGAGAGGGAAGCGGGAAGAAGCAAUAUAUGGGUGGGGGAAAAAAGAGGGUUAUUAUGGGAUUAUAUGUAAUCAGCUGUGUGAGACUUUUUAAAGUUGUAAAGCACCGUAGAAUUUAAAGAAACUUUCUUUCAACGAAAACAUUAAAAACAUAAUAAUGAAAGCAUACGGCCCCAAAACUCGUAUAAGGAUGUUUAGACUUAUGUAAACUUAUAUAAGAUUAGCUUUAUUCGUAAUAGCCCCAAAGUAGAAAUAACAUAAUUCUAUAUCAACAGGAGAAUAAACAAAUUAUGUAUAUUUAUACAAUGAAAUACUUCAGAGUAGUAAAAAGGAGUGAACCACUGACACAUGGAAGAACACAGAUGAAUCUCAAAAACAUUAUGUUGACUGAAAGAAGCUAGGCACAGAAACUGCAUACUGUAUAUUUCCAUUUACAUGUAGUUCUAGUACCAUCAAAACUAACCUUUGAUGAUGAAAAUCAGGACAGUGGUUGCCAGGGGGCAGGAGUUGACUGGGAAAGAGCAUGAGAAACUUUCUGGAAUGAUAGAAAUGUUUUAUAUCCAUUGGGGUAUUGGUUAGAUUGGGGUAUUGGUUACACAGGUAUAGACAUAUGCCAAAACUCAUCAAAUUAAACACGUUCUAUGCAUUUCACUGAAUAUAAAUGAUAACCUAUCAAAUCAAAGGAAAACAGAGUAACAAAAGUAAUGGAUUAUAACACAUUACAUAAAAGACAAUCCGUAAACAAUCCAUAGUCCAUAGAGGUAUCCCAGAUAAAAAAAGGAAGGGCUCCUUUUUUUAGGAGAAUAUAAUCUAAUAAAAGGGGAAGAAAUGAUAAAAUUAGAAAAUCACAAUUUUGCAACCACUAGCAUAAUAAUCCAUGUGGGAAUCAUCAAAGGAUGCUAAAAACUACUGAGUAAAGAUAGUUGGGGAACAAGAUAUCCUCAGUCUUGAAGGCCACAUAUUACUUACUAAUUACAAAGGGAAAAAUGUACCUUACCAAUAAAGGCAGUUGGCAGACACCACACUUGGCAUGAUUAAUAACGGGACAAAUUUACAUUAUUUCAUCCUGAUGUGAAGCAAUGGGAAAGACACAGCAUCACCUAUGUAGUAUUCUUGCUAAAAAAUCUGAGCCCCAAUCUAAUCAUGAGAAGAUAGUCAAGAAAUCCAGAUGGUAGGGCAUUCAGCAAAAUUGGCCAGACCCUUAAAAACUGUCAAUGUCAUGAAAGACAGAAAAGAUGAGGGGACUCUUGGAGAUUAAAAGACACAAGAGACAUGGCAUUCAAAAGCAAUGAAUGAUCCUUGAUUGAAUCCUGGAUGGUGGGUGGGGAGACGAUAGUCUAUGGGACAUUUGGGGGGCAAUUGCAGAUAGUUGAAUAUAAGGUAAUAUAUCAACAUAAAUUUCUUGAGCGUGAUGGUGUCAUGGUUAUUAGGAGCAUGUCCUUGUUCUUGGGAGAUAUAUGCUGAAGCAUUGGGGUGUAGUAUCAUGAUAUCUGUAAUUUACUUUCAAAUGGUUUAGCAAAAAAUGUGAUAUAUGUGUAUAUAUAUAUGUAUGUAGGUAGAAGAAAAGAUAAAACAUUGUUAACAAUUGGUGAGUUUAAGCAAGGAUAUAUGAGUAUUUAUAGUAUUAUUGCCUCAUCUUUUCUGUAGAUUUGAAAAUUUCCCCCCAAAAAGUUGGAAAAUGAAAUAUUGCAAAUAAGGUGCUUGGCCAAUGGUAAAUGCUCAAAAAAGUGAGGGUCUUACACAAGUGUAUAAGCUCCAUGAGGGCAGGGGCCUUGUUUCUUUUAUUUAGCACUGUACCCUAGCACCCACAAUAGUGCCUGGCAGGUAAAAUGGUAUUCAACAAACAUUUUUGAAACAAAUCCUCGAGAGGCUGUACAUUAGAAAUGUAAUGUGAAAAAAUAUAACAGUCGGAAAUAACACCAAAGAACGAUGCAUGGACAGUUGUUUCUGUGGUCUGAAUAUAACACCAAAGAACGAUGCAUGGACAGUUGUUUCUGUGGUCUGAACAUAACUGUGCCUGUUGCUUUGAUUAAAGUGACUUUUCUCUGAUUAAAAAAUAUGAUCUAAAAAAAUUUCCCCAGAAAAUCCAUCUGCCCAGUUGAGUUUGGUAACUCAUUUACAAGAAGUGAUAUUCUCUGAGUAGUAUCAGCAUAUUUGGUUAAGCCAUUUGGGAUUAUUGUGGGGAAAAACAAAUUAGCCUAUUAAGGAGCGUCAGUUUUUCUAACCUUGACCUACAUUGACAUCAACUGGCCUCUUACGGGAGGGGUGCUACGCCCUCUCGUGGUGAAAGACACUCAUCUGGUUUCUACGGAAAAGGCCAGGAGAACAGGUGAAGUGGCAAGAAUGCCUUUACCCAGAGGUUUCUGGAAACCUGUCUCCUUAUUUCCUAGUCAGUAGUGACCUUAGGACUGAACUUGAUGUGAUCAUUUUUGACUCAGUGAACUGCCAGAUUUGGGGAAUGCGUGGGCCCGGCUGGGCCGAGGAAGGUAUAAAUUUAGGAAUGUGAAGUGACAUUUGUAGUUGCAUCAAAACUGAGGUGGGAAGACUUGUUCCCAGCGUGAUGAGUGCCAAGGGAAACCCGAAGGGCCAUUUGAACUGUAAGAUUUGUCAGGAUCCUGUCUCCUUGCUAUGACAAGGAUGAUAGUAUACUCCACCAUAUGUCUCAGGAAGAGCUCUGGGUGGAAUCCUGGGGCUGUGAUGGCCCAGGGAAGGCUGUCUGCUGCCCAGAAGGCUGACCAAUGUCCAGCUUUGUGUCCCCGGAAUGUCUUUUAUUUUCUUUUCUUUUUUCUUAAUUUUUAACAUUAAAAGACCUUUUUUCCCUGAGUGUAAAAAUGAUGGAUUAUGUAAAAAAUUAUGAAAAAUAUUAAUAAAGUAAAAAUGACCUGAAAUCUGUCUACAUUGUGAUAACCACAGUUGCCAUUUU